UGUGUUCUUUUAAACA
rnacentral:miRNA from 1 species